UGAACGCUGGCGGUAGGCUUAACACAUGCAAGUCGAACGGCAGCACAGUAAGAGCUUGCUCUUACGGGUGGCGAGUGGCGGACGGGUGAGGAAUACAUCGGAAUCUACUUUUUCGUGGGGGAUAACGUAGGGAAACUUACGCUAAUACCGCAUACGACCUACGGGUGAAAGCAGGGGAUCUUCGGACCUUGCGCGAUUGAAUGAGCCGAUGUCGGAUUAGCUAGUUGGCGGGGUAAAGGCCCACCAAGGCGACGAUCCGUAGCUGGUCUGAGAGGAUGAUCAGCCACACUGGAACUGAGACACGGUCCAGACUCCUACGGGAGGCAGCAGUGGGGAAUAUUGGACAAUGGGCGCAAGCCUGAUCCAGCCAUACCGCGUGGGUGAAGAAGGCCUUCGGGUUGUAAAGCCCUUUUGUUGGGAAAGAAAAGCAGCAGGUUAAUACCCCGCUGUUCUGACGGUACCCAAAGAAUAAGCACCGGCUAACUUCGUG
rnacentral:rRNA from 1 species